UGCCUUUCCUCUAUGCCCUAGCAUCUCUGCCGAUGCCACUGUCUCUCUUUCUCCCGACGCCGAGCAGCACCGAGCCCUAGGUGCCAACGCCGUCGACGCCUUUUUCCGACCUCUUCUGUGCCACUCCGAGACUCCUUGUCCGAGUUCUCACCGUGCCCUAGCCCCCGCUCAGCAGAUAGCCGGCUGCCAACACUCAAAGCAAUUGUCGAUUUGUAGCCUCUGCCCUAGCCUCUGUUUCCGACGCUGGUAAGGGUUCUGCCGUGGCCACCACUUGGGAUCUGUAUGUCGUCGUCGCCCCUUUGCUCUGGUUUACUGCCUCAGUAGCCCUUGCUGGAAACAACACCGGUGACCUAACUCCUCCGUCCUCUAAUCCAGUGAGCUACUGGAUGAAGCAUCAAGAGUUUGUUGCUGUCUCUGUUUGAUUCCGGCCACCACCCCCUGUCAACAGCUUGACACACCUGAGUAGGAAGGAUUCCAGCAGCAAACGAUCCUACUUCCAACAGUGAUAAAACGGCUGUGAGUUUCAGGAUCUUGACGCGAGACGAGUAUCUUGGAGUCAGAUUUGGAUCACUUUAUUGGAGG